rnacentral:rRNA from 1 species
GACAGAGGUGCCGAGCGUUAGGCGGAAUCACUGGGCUUAAAGCGUGUGUAGGCGGGCGGGCAAGUACCUUGUGAAAUCCCACGGCUCAACCGUGGAACUGCUGGGUAUACUGCCUGUCUUGAGCCAGCCAGGGGCAGUCGGAACAGACGGUGGAGCGGUGAAAUCCGUAGAUAUCAGGAAGAACACCGGUGGCGAAGGCGGCUGCCUGGACCGAUACUGACGCUGAGACGCGAAAGCGUGGGGAGCAAACAGG